rnacentral:rRNA from 1 species
UACGGAGGAUCCGAGCGUUAUCCGGAUUUAUUGGGUUUAAAGGGUGCGCAGGCGGGGGAUUAAGUCGGCGGUGAAAUUUUGCAGCUCAACUGUAAAAGUGCCUUCGAAACUGGUUUCCUUGAGUGUAGAUGAAGUAGGCGGAAUUUGUGGUGUAGCAGUGAAAUGCAUAGAUAUCACGAGGAACUCCGAUUGCGCAGGCAGCUUACUAAACUACUACUGACGCUCAUGCACGAAGGCGUGGAGAUCAAACAGGAUUAGAUACCCCGGUA